GAGUUUGAUCGUGGCUCAGAACGAACGCUGGCGGCAUGCCUAACACAUGCAAGUCGAACGGGAUCCUGGUUUCGGCCAGGUGAGAGUGGCGGACGGGUGAGUAACACGUGGGAAUCUGCCUUUUGGUUCGGGACAAGCUUGGGAAACCGGGUCUAAUACCGAAUGUGCCCUACGGGGGAAAGAUUUAUCGCCAUUGGAGCGGCCCGCGUUGGAUUAGCUAGUUGGUGGGGUAAAGGCCCACCAAGGCGACGAUCCAUAGCUGGUCUGAGAGGAUGAUCAGCCACACUGGGACUGGGACACGGCCCAAACUCCUACGGGAGGCAGCAGUGGGGAAUAUUGGACAAUGGGGGCAACCCUGAUCCAGCCAUGCCGCGUGAGUGAUGAAGGCCCUAGGGUUGUAAAGCCCUUUUGUUGGGAAAGAAAUCCUGUCGGUUAAUACCCGGUAGGAUGACGGUACCCAAAGAAUAAGCACCGGCUAACUUCGUGCCAGCCGCCGCCGU
rnacentral:rRNA from 1 species